CUGGCCGAGGCAGCUGUCAGUCAGGGCGGGGAGGGUGGAGGUUCUGUGCCAGCAUCGGGCUGCCAAGGACAUGAAGAAGUGUGAUGAGGCGGUCAGCCCUCCGGGCAUAAGAUGCUGGAGGAGGAUGAAGAAGCCAUGGGAGGCGACUCGGAGUGAUGUUUUUGGACCUGAUGGCUGAUGACUUUACUGGUGGAGUCAAGAUGAAGGCUUCCGGAGCUUUCUCUCCUGGGGGUCUAUUUACACACUGCAUCACAUCAUGACUGUGUGCCGGUCUUCUCCAUGGCUGUGACCUGAAAGGAAAGCAAAGGCGGAAUGAAGAGGAAACAAUGCGCGCUCUGUACCAUUGGGGCGGCCCCAAAGCAAAUAGGCAGCACAGAUGGUAUAUGAAAAGGUGAUGAAGAGCCAAUAUUUAUAACUGUGUUUUGCUAUUUGGAAACUGUCUUUGGAGGAUAUCGCCGCUAGAUGUGACUGGCUGUGACCUUGCAUAAUGUGAUGAAGAACCACAAUGUGGUCUGUGAGACACGAGCACUUUUAGAUGCAGAGAAGGAAUUUGGAAGAGUUGGGUUCUGGCUUCAAUCCACAAUUACUAUAGAGAACAACAACCCAGGAUACGUUGUCAUUUUAUUCAUUUAAAAUAGUGCCUGUAUAUAUUUUAUUUUAAUGAUAAUUCUACGAAAUAGCUCAGAGUACUAGGUUUAAGCGUAUUAGUGGUUGAGAACAUUUGAGCUAUUAUGAAGUGGCACCAGUGAUGUUUUGUCUUCAUCCGUCAUACUAUCUAAUCCAGUAUUUUUUCAUAAUACGAGUAUAUGACGUUUACCAGAGCCCGUAAGGCCCUAUUCACAUAAUAUUUUGCCAAUAUACUGUCCUUUUCAUAUAAGGUAUUGUGAUUAUAGAGAUACCAGGUGUAUAUUUUUAUGGCUUUUAUGUAAUAAAAACUGAAGAUAAA